CCCCUUUCAGAGUCACACCUGGAGAGUUUCCAGUACUCUACCAGUCUCGACUACAGGAGAGAGAGUCAAACAGAGGCAUACCUAUUCCAUUCCUAACUUGUGCAGUGGCUAGCGAGUGGAAGGCAAUCUGCUACAAGU
rnacentral:snoRNA from 1 species